UCCGUGCCAGCAGCCGACGGUAAUACGGGAGGGUGCGAGUACGUUAAGUACGGUAAUUACGUGGGACGUAAAGCGCUAUGCAGGUUGGUUUAGUUAAGUCAGAUGUAGAAACGGCCCGGGGCUACAACCGUACGGAAUAGCUAUUUAGAAACGUGGCAGACUAGAGUACUGUAGGAGGGGGUAGAAUUUCAGGUGUAGCGGUAGAAAUGCGUAGAGAUCUGAAGGAAUACCGGUAGCGAAGGCCGGCCCCCUGGACAGAUACUGACACUCAGAUGACGAAAGCGUGGGGAGCAAACAGGAUUAGAUACCCUGGUAG
rnacentral:rRNA from 1 species